rnacentral:rRNA from 1 species
GUAGGAGGCAAGCGUUAUCCGGAUUUACUGGGCGUAAAGCGUGUGUAGGCGGUUUGGUCAGUCGGACGUGAAAGCUCCUGGCUCAACUAGGAGAGGCCGUUCGAAACUUCCAAACUUGAGGGCAGUAGAGGGAGGUGGAAUUCCGGGUGUAGCGGUGAAAUGCGUAGAUAUCCGGAGGAACACCAGUGGCGAAGGCGGCCUCCUGGACUGUCCCUGACGCUCAGACACGAAAGCUAGGGGAGCAAACGGGAUUAGACACCCCGGGUAAUCCUAGCUGUAAACGAUGCAGACUUGGUGUUGGGAGUGUAAAAACCUUUCAGUGCCGGAGCUAACGCGUUAAGUCUGCCGCCUGGGGACUACGACCGCAAGGUUA